rnacentral:rRNA from 1 species
UACGAAGGGGGCUAGCGUUGCUCGGAAUCACUGGGCGUAAAGGGUGCGUAGGCGGGUCUUUAAGUCAGGGGUGAAAUCCUGGAGCUCAACUCCAGAACUGCCUUUGAUACUGAGGAUCUUGAGUUCGGGAGAGGUGAGUGGAACUGCGAGUGUAGAGGUGAAAAUUCGUAGAUAUUCGCAAGAACACCAGUGGCGAAGGCGGCUACCUGGACCGGUUCUGACGCUGAUGCGCGAAAGCGUGGGUAGCAAACAGG